rnacentral:lncRNA from 1 species
CCAGUUCCUGCCUGGACUGCUGCUGCCUGCUUUGGGAGCGGUCCUGGGGGUUAAUGCUUCACUGGACCGUGGCCUCUUUUUGCAGCAGCUCCAGAACGCUCUCAUCCCACUGACCCUGCCUAUCCUAGGCAGGCAGGUUGUGCCAGCAUCCCAGAAACUGCAGAUAAAUUCCAUGUUAGAGGAGCACACUUGACCAGCUAACAGCUCAGAGCAGAUGGCCUUCCGGAGACACGCUGGGCGAGUGGAAAAUGUAAUGAAAUUCCCAGAGCCUCCUGGUGCACUACCAAGAAAGCCGUGCUGUGCCAGGGACUGCAGGACCCAGGCUUUUGG